UUUUUUUUCCCUUUUUUCUAAGUUGCCAAGCUUGGUCUCAGAUUAGACAAUCUUACAUACUUGGGCUGUGAUCUGAAACUUUAUGCCUGUAUAUGGCAUUAAUCUCAUGUUGCUUUGUGGUAGCCCAGCUAUAAUUAUAUGUGGUUAUGGGUUAUGGUUGUAAUAAUUUGGUACAAUAUUUUUAAGUUUUUUUAGGAUACAAGAUCUUUUUAUGUGGUGCUGAGGAUCGAACCCGGGCUGCGCGCAUGCCAGGCGAGCGCACUACCACUUGAGCCACAUUCCCUAGCCCAUUGGUACAAUAUUUGCAACAGUCCAUAUAGCUAUUAGCUGAAUCUCAAGAGACUUGGUUAUUUUUGUUUGGGUCCUUAACUAGGGGAUUUAUAGCAUCCCAGAUUCUUGGCAUUAACUUUGGUGUCUGGAUGUUUGCAGUGUUAGCUUCUGGGACUAUUAUUCUGCCAUAGUUCCUCAAAGACAAUACUAGGGGUUUUCUAAAUUUCUUUUAAUUUUGUGCCUGAGUGGUAGAGUGCUUACCUAGCAGGUGCAAGGCCCUCCCUGGAUUCUAGCACCACUAAUGAAGGUAUUGUGUCCAACUACAACUUCACUACAACUCCAAUGCAUGGGAACAAGAGCCCCAACAUUCAGAAGCUGGUUUUAAGAUGGAAUGUGACAUUACUACCCUAAGUACAGUUCUAUAUAUGUAAUAUGAACUGUAAUGCAUUCUGCUGAUAUACAACAAAUGAAAGAUGAAGGUAACCAUGAGAGUAUUGGCACUCCCCAUCCCAACCUUAUAGGGGUUAAGAGAAUUGGACCUGUUGAAUGUAUAUAAAUCUAGGAUGGCAAAAACUUGGGCUUUCUGGAAGGUUAUGAUUGUAGGAGACUGAUUAUAGCUUUCAAGGUUUUACCCAAUGUAAUUAGCCUUUGGGGGUGGGGUACUGGAGAUUGAAACCAAGGAAACUUGGACCACAGCUACAAUUCCCAGCCCUUUGAGGCAGGGUCUUGCUAAAUUGGGUAGGCUGAUCUCAAC
rnacentral:lncRNA from 1 species